rnacentral:lncRNA from 1 species
CCUUGUUUGAGGCUUCUACUGUGAAGUGGGGAUGAAUAAGAGCUCCUGGAGUCAGAUGACUGCCAGCAGGGCAUGAGCCUCAGCCAUGCGCACUGACGUGAGAGGUAGCUCAGUUCCAUUGCAUUUCUGAAGACAAAGGAUUUCUCCGGUUGAAACUUUAUUGCAGAUUUACGAUAAAAACAUCCUAAAGAUUGAUUCUAUACAUCGUUUGCCAUGUUUCUACGAACUGUAAUGGGAUUUUUUGAGUUUUCAUCUGACCUGCGCGUCGUGAAUUUGGAUUUGUGAACUGAAGGUGCGAACAAAAAGGAGGUAUUUGGACAUAAAGGAUGGACUUUAUCAAACAAAACAAACAUUUAUUGUUGAACUGGGAUUCCAGGGAGUGCAUUCUGAGGAAGAUCAUCAAAGGACCUGAGCCCUAGGACCAUGCCUCAGGACUACCUGGUAUGAUGACUCCUUGCUGUCCCCAGUCCACCUGGCCGUGCUGCUGCUCCAGUUUCAACUGUUCUGCCUGCGGCUAUGGAACCCUGACCUGUUCACCGGACGUGCUUGUUGCACUCUCGACAACUACUAUGAUUAUUAUUAUUUGACCAUGCUGGUCAUUUAUGAACAUUUUAACAUUUUAACAUCUUGACUAUGUUCUGUUAUAAUAUCCACCCUGCACAGCCAGAAGAGGACUGGCCACCCCUCAUAGCCUGGUUCCUCUCUAGGUUUCUUCCUAGGUUUUUGGCCUUUCUAGGGAGUUUUUCCUAGGGAGUUUUUCCUAGCCACCGUGCUUCUUUCACAUGCUUUGCUUGCUGUUUGGGGUUUUAGGCUGGGUUUCUGUACAGCACUUUGAGAAUAUCAGCUGAUGUACGAAGGGCUAUAUAAAAAUAAAUUUGAUUUGAUUUGAUUUUGAGCUUCAUAGGAUGUCAGUUUGUCAAAUUUCUGUCUUGCUAGAGAUGCCCCGGUCAACUGUAAGUGCUGUUAUUUGGAAGUGGAAACAUCUCGGAGCAACAACGGCUCAGGGGCAAAGUGGUAGGCCACACAAGUUAACAGAACGGGACCGCCAAGCGAACAAAUAGUCUGUCCUAGGUUGCAACACUCACUACUGAGUUCUAAACUGCCUCUGGAAGCAACGUCAGCACAAGAACUGUUCGUCGGGAGCUUCAUAACAUGGGUUUCCAUGGCCGAGCAGCCGCACACAAGCCUAAGAUCACCAUGUGCGAUGCCACGCAUUGGCUGGAGUAGUGUAAAGCACGCUGCCAUUGGACUCUGGAGCAGUGGAAACGCGUUCUCUGGAGUGAUGAAUCACGCUUCACAAUCUGGCAGUCCGGCGGAUGAAUCUGGGUUUGGCAGAUGCCAGGAGAACGCUACCUGCCCAAAUGCAGAGUGCCAACUGUAAAGUUUGGUGGAGGAGGAAUAAUGGUC